rnacentral:rRNA from 1 species
UACGUAGGGUGCGAGCGUUGUCCGGAAUUACUGGGCGUAAAGUGCGCGUAGGUGGUUUGUUAAGUUGGAUGUGAAAGCCCCGGGCUCAACCUGGGAACUGCAUCCAAAACUGGCAAGCUAGAGUACGGUAGAGGGUGGUGGAAUUUCCUGUGUAGCGGUGAAAUGCGUAGAUAUAGGAAGGAACACCAGUGGCGAAGGCGACCACCUGGACUGAUACUGACACUGAGGUGCGAAAGCGUGGGGAGCAAACAGG